GUGAUAUUGCUGCUACUACCGUAUACUGAAUACAAUCCAUUGUGUAGUGAAUAUUCUUCGGUGUGACUAAACACAUACACACAUAUAAAAAAAAGUCACACUUGAGUGUAAAAAGAAUGUUAUCUGAUGCCUACAGCCAACAAGGAAGUGUAGACGUCUAUGCAGAUUUAAAAGCGAUAUAAAAGAGGGCUGAAUUUAUCACAAUGAAAAUAACUCACAAGAUAUUACUUCAAUUAGCAGUAUUUACAGCACUUCAUCGUUCUACAAAUUCUUUCACGUGGUUCGAAGCACAGACAGUCUGCAGAGAAAGGAACCAGACUCUAACGUUACAGUCUAAUGAGUCUAAAAGCUUUUAUUGGACGGGAUUUCACAAGAGAUUGUCUCAUUGGAUCCAGAUAAUUGGUUGUUAUAAUGCAUCGACAAUAGAAUGUGAGAUAUAUACUGAAUUGCCACUAUUUUCACCCCCACUUUGUCAGAAAUUUUGUCUCCAAAAAGAAAUUUACUUAUUCGCCGUUCAGAGAAAUACAUGCCUGUGCCUUCAUGCUAAGGAUUUUGACGACAAAAAAAAACCAAUUAAAUCCAUCAAAGUGUGCAUACACUUGUGACGAAACAACACUGUUGUCAACAGAGUGUGGAGGAGAACUAGCGUUUAAUGUAUUUCUUACAGGUUUAAUUGAUGCUAUUUCACUUUAAAUCUUAAAGAUUUUUUCAAAAUGUACAGGUUGUAAAUAACUUUUCUUUUGAAUCAUUAUGCAUAUGUACAUAUUUGAGCACUAUAGAAAUUUCGAGAUGUAUAGAUUAAUUAACAUUGGUUGUAUUCGUUUUGUUGGUACAAUGUAAAUAGGUCAUAACAGCAUUUAAGCUUUAUUUGUAUUUUUGUAAUUCAUGCAAUUCAUAACAUACUUGUUUUAUCAUUAAUAGAUACAACGAUUUUAGGAAUUCAAACUCGUUGUAUUUCUUUACAAUGCGGCGCUGCCCAAAUAUUUGAUGACUUAAAUUGUGCGAAGGAUUUGUCUGUAAUUUGCAGAACCAGUACAUUAGGCAAGUACAUUCGUUAUUUUUUUUUUGUGUAUCGGGGUUGAUAAAUUUAAAUUUUGUAUAUUCAUGGUAUGUAUGGAAGCUUUUCUAAAAUUAUUAAGAAGUUUUCUUUCUAGAAACAAAUUAAAAUUGUUUGAUUGUUUCGCUUGUUUUAUCAAUUUUAUUAUUAAUUUGAUGAAUUUAAUAGCAGAUAAAUAUAUGAACUGGACAGAUAGCCUGGACUAUUGUAAAGAGAAUGAUAAUUACCCUUUUGGGAACAUUAACUUAUCAAAUGUAAGUGCCUCAUGUACCGGUUUUAACCAUACCAAUCAACGUUGGAUCGGAGUAGUUAAAGAAGAUUUUGUGUUGACAGAUGACGGUGAGGUGAUUACCGAAAGUGAUCAGCAUUACUUCUACCUUUGUAUGAAAU